CCUACGGGGCGCAGCAGUGGGGAAUAUUGCACAAUGGGCGCAAGCCUGAUGCAGCCAUGCCGCGUGUGUGAAGAAGGCCUUCGGGUUGUAAAGCACUUUCAGCGGGGAGGAAGGCGGUGAGGUUAAUAACCUCAUCGAUUGACGUUACCCGCAGAAGAAGCACCGGCUAACUCCGUGCCAGCAGCCGCGGUAAUAUGGAGGGUGCAAGCGUUAAUCGGAAUUACUGGGCGUAAAGCGCACGCAGGCGGUCUGUCAAGUCGGAUGUGAAAUCCCCGGGCUCAACCUGGGAACUGCAUUCGAAACUGGCAGGCUAGAGUCUUGUAGAGGGGGGUGGAAUUCCAGGUGUAGCGGUGAAAUGCGGAGAGAUCUGGAGGAAUACCGGUGGCGAAGGCGGCCCCCUGGACAAAGACUGACGCUCAGGUGCGAAAGCGUGGGGAGCAAACAGGAUUAGAUACCCUUGUAGUC
rnacentral:rRNA from 1 species